rfam:Biomphalaria glabrata isolate BB02 unplaced genomic scaffold LGTN_random_Scaffold4401, whole genome shotgun sequence.
UUUACGGCCCUUUUCAGGGCCACCCAAAUUUAUUCCGAUUCUGAA